AUCAUCAUUCUGACUUUUUCAGGCACUUUGGUGGCAUCACUGCAGGUUUCCUGCCACCCAGGCAGCUUGGAUUUUAGGAAGUCUGCACACUGCAUCCAAGUUAAAAGCUCAGCCUGAGACUUCUCUAAAGAAUCCAGUUUGCUCCUGUGUUCGGUUUGGUACCUCUUUAGAGUUGCCUGCAACCAAAGCAUUUACAACAGCUGUAAUGCCCUCAGCCCUGGAGCUGGACGUACCUGGUGCUGGCAGUGAGGAAAGACUGAUUGCUGAGCAUCCUUAGCUCGGAGAUGUGAGGGAGAACAGCCCCCUGGCCACUGCAGGAGCCCCGGCACCAGCUGAUUUUCCUGUGUUUGGGUCAUCCAAAAGUUGAUUUUUUUUGAGAAGUCCAAAGCCUGUGUUCAGCCCGGCAGCACAGAUGCCAUCACUGCAUUACAUGGAAUUGGUUUUCCCAGACCAAGACUUUCUUUUUACUGGUAGGAGAGGCACAAACAGAAGGUAUGAAUUUCAUCCAUCCCAGCACGGUGUUUCAAGCAGGGCAUUGCCAGGGUGGCACAGCAAGGGCAGAAGUUCCACGAGCACCACUGAACAAAGCAGAGCAGGCUGAAGCACAGCACAAAGAGGUGUUCAUUUGUUUUAGAUGGGGGAGCUGUGAUUACAGUCACAGCCAGUGCUGAAUACACAGGCUACUCCUCUCUGCCCCUAAGAGGUGACAAACUAUUUUCAAGAUUUCAACUUUGAUCUAGAAAUAACUGCUUUAAAGUAGACGCUGAAUCCAUUUUCUGUCUGAAGCAGCCUUUAUACCUUAUCUGGAUAAAGUUUCAAUUUUUAAUGAGGGCAGGGCAGGAGGGUUUCCAGGCCUGUGAGU